rnacentral:lncRNA from 1 species
CUUGAAGCUGGAGAUCAUAGAUGUUGAAUCUAAGAUAGUUUGCAAUGGCAGCGACGAGGGUGGAUUUUCCAGUACCUGGUGGACCGUAGAGAAGGUACCCGCUUUUCCAUGCUCUACCAACACUCUGAAAGUAGUCCUUUCUUCGCACAAACAAGUCGAGAUCUUCAACUAUGAACUUCUUCAGGUCAGGGUCCAUUGCCAGAGUGUCAAAGGUAGCUGGAUGCUUGAACACAGUAGAUUCCCACAUAGAAUCCUCAUUAUCAUAAGUACAGAUAUAGAGGGUCUCUCUGUUCUUCAAGAUUGCAGCUGCAGUCUUGCUAAUGUAUGGCAAGUAGCUUUGCAUGACUUGUUCUCUAUAAUUAUUUUUGCAUUUCAAUUGGAAGUAUUUUUUUUGUUGAUGGUAAGACUUGUUUCCGUCACUCUCACAGAGAGUCCAUUCAAAAUGCAUACCCUGGAAAAAAUCAACAACUUUAGCAUCAACAGGAAUCCCUGGUUUUGGUGGGGCAAAGAUGUUGUUGGUAUCAUUGGUGCCUAAGAGAAGGCUUUUAGUGGAAGGGCCAACUUUGGUUGGAAGAUAGACCUCAACAGCUCGAAAGGUUUCAUUCCUCACAGCUUGCCAUCGGUCUUCAAUGAUGAAGGUGAAGUCUGAGGAGAAGUAGGUCGCAAAGAAAUCUGAAAAGCUUUUAGCUAUCAAGUCACGCAUACCACUUGGAAUCAUUUCAUUUAAUAUGGUGCGGAUUAGCAUCGAUACACCAGAUAUGGAUGCGUAUAUAGAGAGGAUUGUGCUCAUGGAGGGCAAUUCCUUCAAGAGAGACGCCAUUUCGAAUUUCAAAAAGCAAACAAAGAACGAUGGAGGAGAGUAUGUGCAGAGAGAAGGUGAAGCUUGGUCACUUAUAUGGGAUGAGCAAGGUUAUUCAUAGACAUGAAUGUUGACUUAAUAUACCUCACCUACAGCUAGCGGAGAGAGCACUGAUGUGCUUUGUUUGAAGAGAGCAUCUAAUAUAUAUAUAUAUAUAUAUAUAUAUAUAUAUAUAACCAUUUGAGUUUUCACAACUCUGAAAAGUCAAAUGGUAUUAUCUACUUCAUUUUCAGUCAUUUCACGCGAUUGUCGCUUCAUCGUUUUUUUGGCCAAUUGAUCCUUGAAUAUGGGCAAUGCUAAUUUUUAUUUCUAUAAAAUAUAUGGGCAAAUUCAACCUGAUUAUUAACUUUUAUUAGCUUCCAUCAAUUAAAUCAAACACGUUUCAAUUAUUUGAAGUUCCUCAGACAAGCUGUGACAUUAUCAACCUGUUAUUUUAGCUACGCUACGCCGGCGUGAUACCGCGGGCUUAUAGCAUGCUUGUGUGUUAUCGUAGUUUUGUAGAAAAAAAAAAAUAUGAAGAAAAAUUAUUGCAAUCCACAAUGUUUUCAAGGAAAAAAUUAUAAAGUUAAAUUUUUAAUCAGCUUAAUAUUAAAAAAAAUAAAAUCAACAAAAUUUUUUUUAAAAAAAAUCAUAACAAAAAAAGAAGAAGAAGAGGAAAACAAAAUCAUGCAGGGAAACACUGUAGCAAUCUAUAGUGUUUCAUGAGGAAAUCUACAAUUGUAAUUCUUAACCAGCUCAAUAUUAAAAAUAAUAAAAUCGAUCAAGAUAAUUUUGAAAAAAAUCAUAACAAAAAAAAUCAUAUGGGGGAAUACUGUAGCAAUUCAUAGUAUUUUAAAGAAAAAAACAACAAAGCUAAAUUCACAACCAGCUCAAUACAAAAAAAAAAUCGACAAGGACAAUUCUAGAAAAAAAAAUAAAAAAUCAUAAAAAAAAUCAUUCGGUUCGAUUUAGUUUUGAAUUUAGAAAAUUAUAACCGAUUGAACCGAACUUAAACCUUCUAAUAUAAAACAUGUAGAAAUAGAAACUUAAAACAUUUUAAUACUGAAGAUUUUGUUUCAGCCGCCCCUCUUCCUCCGCCCUCCUCCCUCCCCUUCUCUCCUGUGGCCUGUUUUCUAGUCUCUCUUUCCCUUGUUCUCUUCAUUCUCAUAUUGUGCUUCUACAUAACAAGGUCAAAAAAGAUGGAUUCAAGUUGGAGCAGGUCUUAAAUCACCAAAAAAAAAAAAAAAAAACAAUAACAGGAGCAAGGGGGCUGGACUAUUUAUAUUUGAUGGCCAUGUAUCUCUAUUUUAAAAUUUCAAAGUAAUAAAUUAUUUGAUUGGUUCUUUUUUUGCCUUUGUCCUUGGUAAAAGUGUUUUUGUUUCUAAUGAAUUAGUCUUGCUUGUGAUUAUAUAAUAUUUAUUGUUGGAUUUAAGAGUACAAAAUAUUGAUUUUUUGAGUUUUUGCUUCUGUAAAUAACGAGAACUUUCAAGUAAUCCAAAACCUGGUGUUGGUGUUUGUUUGAUCUGCUCUAGUUAUAUGUAUUUUUUAUUUUGUUGCUAGUGUCUUCUCCCUUCGCAUAGUUAUUUUUUACGGGAGUUGUCGGUUUUUCUGGUUUUCAAGAAAAAAAUUGAAAUAAACCGAAUUGAAUUGAUUUUUAAAUAGGUCUGGAUCAAUGUUUUUAGAAAUUACAACUCUUGAUUUGGUUUAAAUCGGACCAUAAACCACGUUUUAUGAACGUUUCCAAAUAAUUAGCUCAUUAUUUAUACAGUAUUGAUAACCCAUGAUGCCAGCAUUCAGUGGUGUGUGUGUGUGUGUGUAUUGCAGAUGAGUUUUUGGGUAAAUCAAUGCCCAUUUAAUUAGCUCAAUAGUUAAUUACACGUUCCUAGCAUAACUUGCAAGGGUAAUUCACUAUAAUUAACAAUGUAGGUUUUAGACAAAAUAAUAUGCCAUAAACUACAUUUUGAAUGAAGGGGAAGGCAAGAAACUCAAGUGGGACACGUUAGGGUUGCAAAUCAACCCUCAGAAGAUGCAAAAGUCCUUUUCAAAUCAACCAUCGUCUAAGUAGAGUGCUGCUAUAUAAUAUACAAAAAGAUGAUGCCAUCAAACAUCCUCCAAUAUGCCUCCAUUAUAUAUAUUUUUUUGCAUGUACAAAAUAUUAGUUUAGAUGAGUUCUUUUCAAACAUGCUUUUUUAUUCCAUAUAUAUACAAUUGAAGUGUGUGAAAGGCAUUACUAUACCUUUUUUUUUUUUUUAAUAAAAAAGAAAGGCAAAGAAAAGAAGGCUGCUAACAAUAAAGGGGCAUUUAUAAUUGCGUUUCAAACGGUGUUUCUAAAAUUUUUUGGUAUUUUUGAUUAAAAUUAUUUUUUUUUGUUUUUUUAAUUAUUUUAAUGUGUUGAUGACAAAAAUAAUUUAAAAAUAAAUAAAUAAAAAUACUAUUUUAAUACAUUUUCGAGUUUAAAAAACUGUGAAAAUAACCGUUAGUACAUUCUCAAACAUCCCCUAACACACUCUCGCUUUUUCAUCUACUAGCUUAUUUCUUCUUUCCUUCUUUGUUUGUCUUCAUUUCUUGCUCUUGUAUGUAAUUGGUUGUUUAUACAUGGAAUUGCAAAAAUCUCAAUUGGCAUUGUGAUGCCAUUACUAUAGCAUCAGUACAUGUAUAUAUCAACUUUAUUGGUCACAUAUGAUGCUUUUAUUAAUUAUGAAUAGUUCAUAGAAUCACAACUCUAAUAUGUAUAAUGUAUUUUUUUAAAUAAAAACUAAAAUGACUUCCCCAACAAACAAAUAAUAAAAUCCAACGUCUUCUUCAUCCUUUUCUUCUUCUUCUUCUUCAUCAUCAUGUUAUUCUUGAAAGCAUCACCACCUGGAAUCAAAACAAAAAAGAAAGCAUCUAAUAUAUAUAUACAACCCACCAAAGGACGAAAAGAGCUAACCAUUUUGAUUUUUUUAUCCAUAUGAAGAUCAUAGUAGUCCAAUUUGAUUGGCUUCAAGAUCACAUAUCCGGGUAGUGGUAGAGAAAAGGGGCUAGUAGAAGCCUCGACUCUUGUAAUUUAUUUUCUAGCCUUCCCCUGAAUAGUUUAGAGUUUUGACCCUAAAAAUAGUAAAAUUUAAAUUUUGAUCUCCCUUUUUUAUUAUUAUUAUUUGACCCCUAACUAAACUCCAUGGCUAUACCUCUUUCUAGAGGUUUGUUUGGAUCCAAGGCUAGCCAAAAAGGUGUUAAAGCAAGGGUAAUCCCUUCUAUGGACUAUAGGGUGACUUUCUCUUCGGAUGUUAUGCUUGGGGAACGCCUCUCGUGGUGGUGAGAGUUACUUUGUGUGGCUAUGGAAGCUCUCAAUCAUCCCUUGGAGACCUAUUUUUCCCUCAACAUAAUUAUUAUUGUGCACUAGAGGGAGGAAUGUGUGAAGAAGCCAUUGGAGGAGCUGGUGAUGAUGUUUGCAGAGCCCUAAAUAGAUUUAUUUGUUUUAAAAAAUUUAUUGCAGUAGUAAUAACUAUUAAAAGAAAAGCUAAAACACAUGGUGUUUUUAUUGCAUAUAUAUCUUUGUUUAUUAUGAAUUGUAAUAGUAAAAUGAUUAUUUUACCCUUCCAAAACUCUUAGAAUAUUGCAUUUUAGGUGUAAAAUGGUAUUUUUCUUUGGUCAAUUUGUCAUUUGAUAAUUGUUUAGUGGUUUUAUUGUUUUUUUAUAAUUUUUAUACACAUUUAAAUGACUUUGUUACGUUUAAAAGCAAAAAAUCAUUUAACUCUGGUCAAGAGUCUUUUCGGGCAUUUCACAUUUUAAUAUACAGUAAAAUUAUAAAUUUAACCUUGGAGUUAAAAAUUUUAAGUCAUUAUCAUAGGGGUAUAUUUUUAUUUUCAUAGUGGUUUUUUUGGUAAUUGAUGUGUUUGUCAGGGGUGAUAAUAUAAUUUACCAUUUUAUUAUUUUUCUUAGUUGAAAAAGCUCUUGGCGCAUGCAAGACACCAUGCAUUUUAGACGGUGCAUGUUGCAUCUCCUAGCGGUAAAAAAAUGCUUUCACCAUGUCAUUUUGUUCUCCGUCACGUUCUCUUCCUUUACAAGUGGCACGUGUCAUUUAAAAAUUGUCAGUUUAUGGUCCAUAGCCCUUUCUCUUUUCCCCCCUUUCUCUUUAAUCCAAACCAAACCAGACUAGACCAGACCGUAAACCACCAUUCUAUAAACGCUUCCAAAAAAUUAGCUCAUUAUUUAUACAGUAUUGAUGACCCACGAUGCCAGCAUUCAGUGGCAUUAUAUAUAUAUAUAUAUAUAUUGCAGAUGAGGUUUUGGGUAAAUUAAUGCCCAUUUAAUUAGCUCAAUAGUUAAUUACACGUUCCUAGCAUCACUUGCAAGGGUAGUUCACUAUAAUUAACAGUGUAGGUUUUGACAAAAUAAUAUGCCAAAACUACAUUUUGAAUGAAGGGGAAGGUAAGAAACUCAAGCGGGACAAGUUAGCUUGCAAUCAACCCUCAGAAGAUGCAAAAGUCCUUUUCAAAUCAACCAUCUUCUAAGUAGAGUGCUGCUAUAUAAUAUACAAAAAGAUGAUGCCAUCAAACAUCCUCCAAUAUGCCUCCAUUAUAUAUUUUUUUUUGCAUGUACAAAAUAUUAGUUUAGAUGAGUCCUUUUCAAACAAGCUUUUCUAUUCCAUAUAUAUACAAUUGAAGUGUGUGAAAGGCAUUACUAUACUUUUUUUUUUUUAAUAAAAAAGAAAGGCAAAGAAAAGGCUGCUAACAAUAAAGGGGCAUUUAUAAUUGCGUUUCAAACGGUGUUUCUAAAAGUUUUUGGUUUUUUGAUUAAAAUUAUUUUUUUUUGUUUUUUUAAUUAUUUUAAUUGUUGAUGACAAAUAAUUUAAAAAUAAAUAAAUAAAAAUACUAUUUUAAUACAUUUUCGAGUUUAAAAAACUGUGAAAAUAACCGUUAGUACACUCUAAACAUCCCCUAACACACUCUCGCUUUUUCAUCUACUAGCUUAUUUCUUCUUUCCUUCUUUGUUUGUCUUCAUUUCUUGCUCUUGUAUGUAAUUGGUUGUUUAUACAUGGAAUUGCAAAAAUCUCAAUUGGCAUUGUGAUGCCAUUACUAUAGCAUCAUAUAUAUCAACUUUAUUGACAUAUGAUGCUUUUAUUAUAUUAUGAAUAGUUCAUAGAAUCACAACUCUAAUAUGUAUAAUGUAUUUUUUUAAAUAAAAACUAAAAAUGACUUCCCCAACAAACAAAUAAUAAAUCCAACGUCUUCUUCAUCCUUUUCUUCUUCUUCUUCUUCAUCAUCAUGUUAUUCUUGAAAGCAUCACCACCUGGAAUCAAAACAAAAAAGAAAGCAUCUAAUAUAUAUAUACAACCCACCAAAGGACGAAAAGAGCUAACCAUUUUGAUUUUUUUAUCCAUAUGAAGAUCAUAGUAGUCCAAUUUGAUUGGCUUCAAGAUCACAUAUCCGGGUAGUGGUAGAGAAAAGGGGCUAGUAGAAGCCUCGACUCUUGUAAUUUAUUUUCUAGCCUUCCCCUGAAUAGUUUUAGAGUUUUGACCCUAAAAUAGUAAAAUUUAAAUUUUGAUCUCCCUUUUUUUAUUAUUAUUAUUUGACCCCUAACUAAACUCCAUGGCUCUACCUCUUUCUAGAGGUUUGUUUGGAUCCAAGGCUAGCCAAAAAGGUGUUAAAGCAAGGGUAAUCCCUUCUAUGGACUAUAGGGUGACUUUCUCUUCGGAUGUUAUGCUUGGGGAACGCCUCUCGUGGUGGUGAGAGUUACUUUGUGUGGCUAUGGAAGCUCUCAAUCAUCCCUUGGAGACCUAUUUUUCCUCAACAUAAUUAUUAUUGUGCACUAGAGGGAGGAAUGUGUGAAGAAGCCAUUGGAGGAGCUGGUGAUGAUGUUUGCAGAGCCCUAAAUAGAUUUAUUUGUUUUAAAAAAUUUAUUGCAGUAGUAAUAACUAUUAAAAGAAAAGCUAAAACACAUGGUGUUUUUAUUGCAUAUAUAUCUUUGUUUAUUAUGAAUUGUAAUAGUAAAAUGAUUAUUUUACCCUUCCAAAACUCUUAGAAUAUUGCAUUUUAGGUGUAAAAUGGUAUUUUUCUUUGGUCAAUUUGUCAUUUGAUAAUUGUUUAGUGGUUUUAUUGUUUUUUAUAAUUUUUAUACACAUUUAAAUGACUUUGUUACGUUUAAAAGCAAAAAAUCAUUUAACUCUGGUCAAGAGUCUUUUCGGGCAUUUCACAUUUUAAUAUACAGUAAAAUUAUAAAUUUAACCUUGGAGUUAAAAAUUUUAAGUCAUUAUCAUAGGGGUAUAUUUUUAUUUUCAUAGUGGUUUUUUUGGUAAUUGAUGUGUUUGUCAGGGGUGAUAAUAUAAUUUACCAUUUUAUUAUUUUUCUUAGUUGAAAAAGCUCUUGGCGCAUGCAAGACACCAUGCAUUUUAGACGGUGCAUGUUGCAUCUCCUAGCGGUAAAAAAAUGCUUUCACCAUGUCAUUUUGUUCUCCGUCACGUUCUCUUCCUUUACAAGUGGCACGUGUCAUUUAAAAAUUGUCAGUUUAUGGUCGAUAGCCCUUUCUCUUUUCCCCCCUUUCUCUUUAAUCCAAACCAAACCAGACUAGACCAGACCGUAAACCACCAUUCUAUAAACGCUUCCAAAAAAUUAGCUCAUUAUUUAUACAGUAUUGAUGACCCACGAUGCCAGCAUUCAGUGGCAUUAUAUAUAUAUAUAUAUAUAUAUUGCAGAUGAGGUUUUGGGUAAAUUAAUGCCCAUUUAAUUAGCUCAAUAGUUAAUUACACGUUCCUAGCAUCACUUGCAAGGGUAGUUCACUAUAAUUAACAGUGUAGGUUUUGACAAAAUAAUAUGCCAAAACUACAUUUUGAAUGAAGGGGAAGGUAAGAAACUCAAGCGGGACAAGUUAGCUUGCAAUCAACCCUCAGAAGAUGCAAAAGUCCUUUUCAAAUCAACCAUCUUCUAAGUAGAGUGCUGCUAUAUAAUAUACAAAAAGAUGAUGCCAUCAAACAUCCUCCAAUAUGCCCCCAUUAUAUAUUUUUUUUUGCAUGUACAAAAUAUUAGUUUAGAUGAGUCCUUUUCAAACAAGCUUUUCUAUUCCAUAUAUAUACAAUUGAAGUGUGUGAAAGGCAUUACUAUACUUUUUUUUUUUUAAUAAAAAAGAAAGGCAAAGAAAAGAAAGCUGCUAACAAUAAAGGGGCAUUUAUAAUUGCGUUUCAAACGGUGUUUCUAAAAAAUUUUGGUUUUUUUUAUUAAAAUUAUUUUUAUUAUUAUUUUGAUUAUUUUAAUGCGUUGAUGAAAAAAAUAAUUUAAAAAUAAAUAAAUAAAAACAUUAUUUUAAUAUAUUUUCGAGUUAAAAGAACUGUGAAAAGCAAUUAUUACUACACUCUUAAACAUCUCCUAACACUCUCGCUUUGUCAUCUACUAGCUUAUUUCUUUUUUCCUUCUUUGUUUUUGUCUUCAUUUCUUGCUCUUGUAUGUAAUUGGUUGUUUAUACAUGGAAUUACAAAAAUCUCAAUUGGCAUUGUGAUGCCAUUACUAUAGCAUUAAUUCAUGUAUGUAUCAACUUUAUUGGUUACAUCUAAUGCUUUGAUUAAUUAUGAAUAGUUCAUAGAAUCACAACUCUAAUAUGUAUAAUGUUUUUUUUUAAUAAGAAAAACUAAAAUGACUUCCCCAACAAACAAAUAAUAAAAUCCCAUGUCUACUUCAUCUUUUUCUUCUUCUUCUUCAUCAUCAUCAUCAGCAUCAUCAUCAUGUUGUUCUCGAAAGCAAAACCACCUAGAAUCAAAACAAAAAAGAAAGCAUCUAAUAUAUAUACAACCCAUCAAAGGACUAAAAGAGCUAACCAUUUUGAUUUUUUAUCCAUAUAAAUAUCAUAAUAGUCCAAUUUGAUUGGCUUCAAGAUCACAUAUCCGGGUAGUGGUGGAGAAAUAGGGCUAGUAGGAGCCUCAACCCUUGUAAUUUAUUUUCUAGCCUUCCCCUGAACAGUUUAUAGUUUUGACCCUAAAACUAGUAAAAUUCAAAUUUUGAUCUUUUUAUUUUAUUUUUAUUAUUUGCGCCCUAACUAAACUUCCUGGCUCUACCUCUCUACAUCCAAGUUUGUUUAGAUUCGAGGCUAGCCAAAAAGGUGUUAAAGCUAGGGUAAUCCUUUCUAUAGAAUAUAAGGUGACUUUCUCUUCUGAUGUUAUGCUUAGGGAAUGCCUCUCGUAGUGGUGGGAGUGAUUUUGUGAUGGCUAUAAAAGCUCUCAACCAUCUCUUGGAGACCUAUUUCCCCUCAAAAUAAUUAUUAUUGUAAACUAGAGGGAGGAAUGUGUGAAAAAGCUAUUUGAGGAGUUGUUGAUGAUGUUUAAUAACUCUAAAUAGAUUUAUUUGUUUUUAAAAUUUUAUUGCAAUAGCUAUAACUAUUAAAACAAAAGCUAAAACGCGUAGUGUUUUCAUUGUAGAUAUGUCAUUUCUUACUAUGGAUUGUAAUAGUAAAAUGAUAAUUUUACCCUUCCAAAACUCUUAGAAUGUUGCCUUUUUAGGGGUAAAAUGAUAUUUUUCUUCAGUCAAUUUGUCAUUUGAUAAUUGUUCAAUGGUUUUACUGCCUUUUAUAAUUUUUAUGCACAAUUAAAUGACUUUGUUACCUUUUAAAAGCAAAAAAUCAUUUAACUAUGGUCAAAAGUCUUUUCGGGCAUUUUACAUUUUGAUAUACAGUAAAAUUACAAAUUUAAGCUUGGAGUUCAAAAUUUUAAGCCAUUGUCAUAGUGGUAUAUUUAUAUUUUCAUAUUGGUUUUUUUAUAUAAUUGUUGGGUUUGUCGGGGGUGAUAACAUAAUUUACUAUUUAAUUAUUUUUCUUGGUUGAAAAAGUUGUUAGCAUAUGCAAGGUACCACGCAUUUUAGACGGUGCAUAUGGCAUCUCUUGGUGGUAAAAAAUAUACUCUAGCCAUGUCAUUUUGCUCUCCGUCAUGUUUUUUUUCUUUAUAAGUGGCGCGUGUCAUCUAAAAAUGAUCAGUUUAUUGCUGGUGGUCCUUUCUCUUUUUUUCCCCUUCAUUUCUCUCUCCUACCUCCAAAAAACUAAAUUUGUUCCUAAUUUUUGUUGGUGUUUUAGAAUCCAUCCUCUUAGUUUUGAUUUUUUAUUUCAGUUACUUUUUCAUUUUUUAUUAUUUUAUUUGUUUUCAAUUUAGUUAUUCAAUUAUAUUUAAUGUCUACAAUGUCUUUUGAUUUGGUUCUUCUACUUUUGAUUUCUUAUUAUUUUUUCUUAGCUCUUUUAUCAAAGUUUUAAUAGUUUUAAAUUUUAUCAUUCAAAUUAGAUUUAUAAGUUUUUGUCAAUAGUAAUAAUAUUUAUUUCAGUUUGGUCCUUCUUCUUUUGAUUUUUUAUUUGUUUCCUUUGUUAUUUUGUCAAAAUUUUAUGGUUUUUAAUUUUAUUCUUCAAAUCAAGUUUAUGAUUUUUGUUAUUUCAAUAAUAAUAAUAAUAGUGAUAAUAAUUAUAGUAAUUGUUGCUACCCAAUUUUUGACCCAUGUUUUUGAUAUAUUUUUUAAAAAAUCCAAAAAUAGAGAAAAACAAUGAAAAUCCAAAAAAUAUGUUUUUUUAAUAUAUUUUCGUCCUUUUAGCACUUUCAACGUCGUCUAAAAAAAAAGAAUUUAAAUUUUUAAAAGAUUUUCAAACGCGUUCGACUUUUCACGCGUCAUUUUUUGAAAAAACAUUGAUUUUCCUCGUUGAGUCGACGUUGAUAUUGCUCGUUUUCAAAAAAUACAAAAAAAAUAAGAAAAAUCAAAAUUUACAAAAAGAAAGAAGUUGAGGGACCAAGUUGAAAAACUUGGCAACAUUUUUGCCUAUAAAUACUGGUCUUUAACUCACACAAAGGGGGGGGCUAAUUUUGAAAACACCUAAAAAUACAACAAAAAACCCUAAAAUUCAUCUCUAACCAAAGGCAGCCGCCGGAGCCCCCCACCCUUUGGAUUUUUUUUCUUCCUUCCCCCAGCCACAACUCCCUCACACCCGGCCAAACAGCCCCCAAACCCACCGGUUUAUUUUUUCUUCUUCCUUUUCUCCAGCCGGCUGGUCAAGCCACACCGCCACCUCCUUCAGUUUUUUUUUUCGAUCUGUCUUUCCCUUCUCCAUCGCUGGAGACCCAAGCUUUCAUCUUCUCUGCAGCGGUCACCCACAGCCAAGGAGAAGCCGCCGCCCCAAACCGCUGAAAAGAAACAAAACCGGAGAGCACCUCCUCAGCCACGGCUGCUUCCCCUUCGAUUUCCUUCCUCAGCGACGGCCGGACAGCAGCACCGGGGCAACACUUUCGCCCGCUCCACUGCCUUCAACCGGCCACCGAACAACAGCUUCAGCAGCCACGGAGCAACCGACCGAUCUGCCACCCGAAGCAGAGGAGAAGAAGACGAAACCCAGCGACCACCGACAGCUCCUCCUCCACGACCGAUCUGCCACCGGAGAAGAAGAAGAAACCCAUAACAGACCGAUCUGUAGAAGAAACAGAUCCGAAACCGAGAAGAAGAAAAGGAGAAGCUGAUCUGAUGAAAAGAAAAAAACCGAAACAGAUUUAUAGAAAACAGAAAUAAAAUCUAAAAUCAACUGUUUGUGGCCCAUUUUUUGCAUUUCUUGUUGCAGGCAAAGGUAUUAUUCACCGCCGGCGACGAAGAAGGGAGGAUCUCCCCUGCUGCAUUGCUUUUCCGGUGGCGCGUGAGCCCACGCGCCCCCAGUGGUGGGGGCGCGUGGAGCAGACGCGCCACCACCGUUCAGUUGCCCUGAAAAUGCUCCCAUCACUGUUUCAGUGGUGCAAAAGGUGUUCCGGUGAAUUCCAGAUUGUUUUAGGGUUGUUAUUGUAAUUUUAAUGUAAUUUUUGUUUGAUGUAAUUUUUUAUUUGUAUUUUGUAAAUAUAGAUGUAAAAGAAAAGAAAAGAAAAGAAACAAAAAAAUAAAAUAGUGAAAGUGUAUGUGUGUGCUUGUAUUUUGUUUUAUUUAUUUGUAUAUAUUUUUUUUAUUGAUAAAAUUGCGAAAAUAUUAAAGAAGAAUUUAAUAUUUUGAUUGGAUCACGGUUAAGAAUUAUUAACUUAUACGUAAGUGAUAUUUCUAAUUUCCGAUGAAAAGAUAAAUUAUUAAAACUUCUUUAACACGUCGAAGCUACGAAGCAGCUUACCUCAGGUAGGGUGCGUUAGGGGUGCUAAUACCUUCCCUAACCACAACCAGUCCCUUACCCGCGAAUCUCUGACGAGACCAGUACAUCCGGUUUCCUAGUAGCCCGCAAUCAAUUACUAGGUGGCGACUCCAACGAACUGAAUUCAAACACUACGCAACAACGAGACUUAAAUCGCCAGCUCGAUGCCGCGCGCUGAUUUUUUUGGGGUGCGACAGUAAUAGUAGCAGCUGUUUUAUGACAAUAAUAGUUACAAUGAUGAUAAUAGUAGUAGUAGUAAUAUUUUAUUAUGAUGGUUGUAGUAGUUAUGAUAUCAAUAAUUGUGGUAAUGAUAAUAAUAAUAUUAAUGAUUGUGCUAAUAAUAUUAAUAAUAAUUAAAAUAAUAAUGAUAAUGAUAUUAGUGGUGAUGGUGGUGGUGGUGGUGGUUGUAAUAAUAAUAAUGAUAAUAAUAAUAAUGGUGGUGGUGGUGCUAAUAAUAGUGCUAAUAAUUGUAACAAUGAUAACGAUACAAUAAUAAUACUAUUAACAGUAAUAAUAGUUGUUAUAAUAAUAGUAGUAAUGAUAAUAAUAAUAAUAAUAAUAAUAAUAAUAAUAAUAAUAAUAAGAAAAACAAUAAUGAUAAUAUUGGUGGUGGUAGUAAUAAUAAUAAGUAUAACAAUAAUAAUAACAAUAAUAAUAAUAAUAAUAAUAAUAAUAGUGAUAAUGAUAGUUAUAGUUAUUACGAUGAUGAUGAUGAUAAUAAUAAUAAUAAUAAUAAUAAUAAUUCAUCAUUCAAUAUUAGAUUUGUUGGGAAUUGAGUAAUAGGUUUAAAUGAAAUUUGAAUAACCGUUUUUUGUUUUACAAAACUAAUGUUGAAUAAUAGAAUCGGGGAAAAAACAAUAAGGAAAAAAAAAAAGGAAUUGUGUGAAGAAGCCAUUGUGUGAAAAAAAAGGAAUUGUGUGAAAAAAAAAAAGGAAUUGUGUGAAUAAUUUUAUUGUGCACUAGCUAGAGGGAGAAUUGUGUGAAGAAGCCAUUGGAGAAGCUGGUGAUGAUGUUUGCAAAGCCCUAAAUAGAUUUAUUUGUUUUUAAAAAUUUAUUGCAGUAGCAAUAACCAUUAAAAAAAAAAAGCUAAAAAGCAUGGUGUUUUUAUUGCAUAUAUGUCUUUGUUUAUUAUGAAUUGUAAUAAUAAAAUGAUUAUUUUACCCUCCCAAAACUCUUAGAAUAUUGCAUUUUAGGUGUAAAAUGGUAUUUUUCUUUGGUCAAUUUGUCAUUUGAUAAUUGUUUGGUGGUUUUAUUGUUUUUUUUAUCAUGUUUAUACACACUUAAAUGACUUUGUUACCUUUAAAAGUAAAAAAUCAUUUAACUAUGGUCAAGAGUCUUUUCGGGCAUUUUAUAUUUUAAUAUAUAGUAAAAUUAUAAAUUUAACCUUGGGGUUAAAAAUUUUAAGUCAUUGUCAUAGGGGUAUUUUUGUAUUUUCAUAGUGGUAUUGUUGGUAAUUGAUGGGUUUGUCAUGGGUGAUAACAUAAUUUACCAUUUUAUUACUUUUCUUGGUUGAAAAAGCUAUUUGCGCAUGCUGGACACCAUGCAUUUUGGGCGAUGCAUGUGACAUCUCCUAGUGGUAAAAAAUAUGCUUUUACCAUGUCAUUUUGUAUCCGUCAUGUUCUCUUCCUUUAUAAGUGGCACGUGUCAUCUAAAAAUUAUCAGUUUAUCGUUGGUGGCCCUUUCUUUUUUUUCCCCCUUCAUUUUUCUCUUUUACCUUCAAAAAAACUAAAUUUAUCUCUAUUUUUUUUUUUGGUGUUUUAGAAUCCAUCCUCUUAGUUUUGAUUUUUUUAUUUAAGUUAUUUUCUCUUUUGUUAAUGUUUUAUUUGUUUUUAAUUUAGUCAUUCAAUUCUAAUUAAUGUAUAUGAUGUCUUUUGAUUUGAUCCUUCUACUUUUGAUUUUUUUUUUUCCUUGGCUCUUUUGUCAAAGUUUUUUAUAGUUUUUAAUUUUAUCAUUCAAAUUAGAUUUAUGAUUUUUUUUAAAUAGUAAUAAUAUUUAUUUUAAUUUGGUCCUUCUUCAUUUGAUUUUUUAGUUGUUUCCUUUGCUAUUUUGUCAAAGUUUUUAUGGUUUUUAAUUUUAUCCUUCAAAUGAAGUUUAUGGCUUUUAAUUUUAUUAUUCAAAUCAAGUUUAUGAUUUUUUUUAUUUCAAUAAUAAUAAUAACAAUAUUUUAUUAUGAUGGUUGUAGUGUUUAUAAUAUCAAUAAUUAUGGUGAUGAUAGUAAUAAUAGUAAUAAUUGUGAUAAUAAUAUUAAUAAUAAUUAAAAUAAUAAUGAUAUUAGUGAUAAAGAAAAUAAUAAUAAUAAUAAUAAUAAUAAUAAUGGUGGUGGUGCUGGUGAUGGUAGUGAUAAUAAUUGUAACAAUGAUAACGGUACUAAUAAUAAUACUAUUAACAAUAAUUAUAAUAAUAGUUUGUUAUCAUAAUAGUAGUAGUAGUAGUAGUAGUAGUGGUGGUGGUUAUAAUAAAAACAACAACAAUAAUGAUAAGGAAAAUAAUAAUGAUAAUAUUUGUAGUAGUAAUAAUAAUAAUAAUAAAUAUAACAAUAAUAUUAACAGAAAUAAUAAUAACGAUGAUAAUAAUAAUGAUAGUGAUAGUGAUAGUUAUAAUAAUAAUGAUGAUGAUAAUGAUGAUUCAUCAUUCAAUGUUAGAUUUGCUAGGAAUUGAAUCUCACUGCUUUUCCAUGUAUGAUAUUUCUGAUCUAAUAAUGAAGAUUAUGGUUUCGAAAAGUUUACUUGGCUCGACAUCUUCUCUUUUUUCCUGAUUGUUUAUUCCCCGAUUUUAUUAUUCAACAUUAGUUUUGUAAAACAAAAAACAAUCAUUCAAGUUUCCUUUAACCUAUUAAAUAAAUUAAUUUACAUCGAGUUAGCUCUUAUAUAGUUUAAUUGGAAGCUCACAAUAGACAAACAAGUUAAGGGAUGUAAAGAUUUAUCUUCUUGGACAAGUUUAAUAAUAUUGCAAAAAUAUCCUCAUGCUCUUAUUUUUUUUUUCUUUUUUAUGUUUUUUUAAAAUGAUUUGACUUGCAUCGGAGCGAGGAGAAAUGAACUAGUUAAUAUGAUUUUUUUAUAAAAUUCCAAAAACUUUAAUUUGAAAAGAUUUUCAAUUAUCAUUUGGCAAUAAAUAUAGUUUAGGAAUUUUACUAGAUCAAAUUAUUGUGGACAUAAAACAAAUGUUCAAGCAUUGUUAAUAUGUUUUGUAAUAAAAAACAAUUAAUAUUAAACUCAAUAUAUGAUUCAUAUUGGAUAAUAUUUUUUAAAAUAUUGAUACGACAACAUAUUGGAUAUUAUUCUUUUUCAAAUAUUGAGACGACAACAUAUUGAAUCGACCCGGGUUAACCUGUCAAAUCUAUAACUUAGAUCAUGAAAUUAUGAUAACCCCAUAAAAAACAAAUCAAAAUAAAAUAUGAAGAUCAAUUCCUAAUCAACCAAUUUUGAUAGAAAAUUUUGAAAAUAAUAUUAAAUAAAAAAAAAUAAAAAAACUACCUAGAUCAACCUGCCAAACAUGUAACCUGAAUCAUGAGAUUUGGAUAAUCUUAUAAAAAGUAAAUAAAAAAAUUAUAAAACUCAAUUUUCAACUAAACCAAUAUUGAAGAAUAAAAAAAUUAAAAAAAUAACUAAAGUCAACACGGACUAACCUGUUAAACUAUCUAACUGAAUCAUAAGACAAAAAUAACUUCAUAAAAAUAAAAUAAAUAAAAAUUAGAAAGUUUCAUUUUCAACAUAUCCAAUGUUGAACAGGUUAGUUUAGGGAUAACUUUAUAACUUAAAAAGGUCAUGCCAUUAAUUUUGUUAAUAUGUAUUUGGCAAUGUAGUGUAAUAUUAUUUUUAAAGUGUUUUUUAAUUGUAAUUUAUUGAAAUAAUUUUUUUUUUUAUUUUAUAUUAGCAAAUCAAAACUAUUAAAAAUUAAUUAAAAAAUGAAUUUAAUGUUGUUAAGAUGAAAAAAACAGAUAUAACCAUAAAAACAAAUAAUUUUAAUAGAGUUAAAUAGAAGAAAGAGGAAGAAUUGAAAUUUGAAACCACAAUGAAAGUUUGAGGGGGUAAUUUAUACAAACGAGAGAAAUCAAUUUAUUAAGAUUUAGUAGAUUAAUUGAAUAGAUUAUUUUUUUUACUAAAUUUAACAUUAAAAACCCUUUAACACGUUUCCAAUCACAACAAAAGCUAUAUAAGUAAUAGGUAGUGACCGAUGGAAGCCAGCAAUCCACCUAAGUCAGGUAAGCAGAUGUUGUUAGAAUCUUGGAUUGCUUCCCGUCUUGUUUCUCAACUUCUUCUUUUAUAACCUCUUCCUCGUCCUUUUUAGCCUCAUUUUUCUCUACCAUUUCAGCUUCCUUCAUACUGAUGAACUCGAUGAGACUUUGAAGAACAACUUGAGGCUCGUCACGUUUCAUAAGCUGCUGUGCGACUUCUGCUGGGGUAAUAACAGGACUUUGAAGGAGAUCUUCGAUGCAUUUGAAAAGGACAUGCUCUUUAAUUCCAAGAUAUGUAAAGGCAAGCUUCCUGAAUGCUGCAGGAGUACAAUGGCCCAUGUAAAUAUGAACAUCCAUUCGUCCUGGUCGCAACAAUGCUGGGUCCAACUUCUCUUUGUAAUUUGUCGUGAAAAUGAUUAUUCUUUCAUCCCCGCAGCUUGACCAUAGCCCGUCAAUGAAGUUCAACAAACCAGAUAAGGUCACCUGUGAGAAGAUUUAAAGAGAAAUAUGGAAUAUGGAAUUGGAAAACUAGGAGACAAUAAGGCAUCGCCUUGAUUAAUGAAUGUUUUCCUUCCAAAUCAAUUCUAGUUUUUUUUUUUUUUUUAAAUAUCAUUUUUGGUGACUUUACAUAAGCAUAACAUGAUGUUAUUUAUGAAGUCUAAUCAGUAAGGAUUGCUGUUAAGUUCCGAAUAAAAUAAACAGGGGACAUUAAUUCUUUCAGGACUCACUUACCCCAGGAUCAAAAGAAAGCUUAUUAUCAAGUUGAUCACCCCCCUCAUCAUCAUCAUCAUCUUGUUCUUCUUUUGGAUUCUUAUUUCGAUCGCGAGAACGUGAAGAUUUUGUACCGCAGUCAAUGUCCUCAAUGAGAAGAAUGGAACGAUUGGUGGUGGAGGUGAGUAUCCUCCUCAGUUGAGCAUCAUUCCUUACACCUUGAAGCUGGAGAUCAUAGAUGUUGAAUCUGGAGAUAGUUUGCAAUGGCAGCGACGAGGGUGGAUUUUCCAGUCCCUGGUGGACCGUAGAGAAGGUACCCUCUUUUCCAAGCUCUACCAACACUCUGAAAGUAGUCCUUUCUUUGCACGAACAAGUCGAGAUCUUCAAUUAUGAACUUCUUCAGGUCAGGGUCCAUUGCCAGAGUGUCAAAGGUAGCUGGAUGCUUGAACACAGUAGAUUCCCACAUAGAAUCCUCAUUAUCAUAAGUAUAGAUAUUGAGGGUCUCUCUGUUGUUCAAGAUUGCAGCUGCAGUCUUGCUAAUGUGUGGCAAGUAGCUUUGCAUGACUUGUUCUCUAUAAUUAUUUUUGCAUUUCAAUUGGAAGUAUUUUUUUUGCUGAUGGUAAUACUUGUUGCCUUCUUUCUCACAGAGAGUCCAUUCAAAAUGCAUACCUUGGAAAAAAUCAACAACUUUAGCAUCAACAGGAAUCCCUGGUUUUGGUGGGGCAAAGAUGUUGUUGGUAUCAUUGGUGCCUAAGAGAAGGCUUUUAGGAAGGGCCAACUUUGGUUGGAAGAUAGACCUCAACAGCUCGAAAGGUUUCAUUCUCCACAGCUUGCCAUCGGUCUUCAAUGAUGAAGGUGAAGUCUGAGGAGAAGUAGGAGCAAAGAAAUCUGAAAAGCUUUAGCUAUCAGUCACGCAUACCCCUUGGAAUCAUUUCAUUCAAUAUGGUGCGGAUUAGCAUGGAUAAACCAGAUAUGGAUGCGUAUAUAGAGAGGAUUGUGCUCAUGGAGGGCAAUUCCUUCAAGAGAGAAGCCAUUUCAGAUUUCGAAAAGCAAGCAAAGAACGAUGGAGGAGAGUAUGUGCAGAGAGAAGGCGAAGCUUGGUCACUUGUAUGGGAUGAGCAAGGUUAUUUAUAGACCAAAGAGGGAAUGGAAUUAUUGUUUGGAAUUGUCCACGAAAAUUAGCUCGAAUUUCUUUGGUUUGUAAACGCGUGAUAAGAUGGAAAAGAUAUCUCCCGUCUACAGCUAGCGGAGAGAGCACUGCUGUGCUUUGUUUGGAGAAACCUCAUAGAAUGUGCUUUGUUUAGAGAAACCUCAUAGAAUGUGCUAGGAAAGGAACAAUACAGAAAACGCUCAUUGAAAAAGGGUACUUAACUGAAGAUGAAGAAGCAGUGCAGACAUCUUAUGGUCACCUCAUUCACACUUGAAUAAUGAGAAGGGUGGGAAAUGGGCAAGAACCUUCCCUUCCUUUCCAGAUAAGCUCGAGGGAAUUGAACGGAAAUUGCCAUAUCUCCCCUUUCAUAAGGUCUUAUUAGCUGUAAUCUUGCAGUUUAAACCAUAUUUCAGAUAAUAAAGUGCAGGAAUAUACCUUCUGCCACCAUUAACCUCUUCCACUCGGGCUUCUUUAGUAAUGGAACACAGCAUCCGCCCCCCCCCCCCCCUAUUCGCAUUUAAAAUUUAAUUUAAUUUUUUUUUGUAAAAUAACAAAGCCCACAAAGUAUAACAAAAUCAUGAUUGAAAAAUAUGAAUUAAAUAAAUAUGGCGUUUCUUAAUAUGAAUCACAACAGGCUAAAACUGUACUAUUCCACGUAUGAGCAUAGAAAUUCCAUAAAAGACGACAUUAAUUUAGCCGAGAAGUCAGAAGACUUUCUUCAAGAACAAGACAUCUUUGGAACCAUGAGAUUACCUCUUCCCUAGCAGAUGCCACUCAUUCUCGUACAAAUACACAAGCUCUUAACGUCUAGAUAAAUACACCUCUAUGAAAGGUGUCAAUGCAUUUCCGAUGCUAUUUAUUUCUGAAUCUCUCCUGGUAAGAACGAAGAAAAUCAUGGAUCUCAAUCACACAUAGAUGAGACAUUAAACGGAUGAAAAUGAACAAGAAAGUACAACUUCAGUCCUUUCCCUCGCUCAAAGACCUUUGCACUGUUACAGGUAGAAGAAGAAGAAAUUGAAUAAAAGGAACUACGGCAGGCCACGUAUUCAAAAGUUAGUUAUCCUUACACACGCGAGCCACGCAUUCAAAAGUUAAUUAUAGAAGUCAUACGCGUCGUUUCAUUUAAAUAACCAUACGCACCGUUUCAAUUCCAUAAAACAGCUGCAUGGCAGUUAGCACACAGCCUGCGUGCUGAAGGUUUUCAUAACCAAUUAGCAUUGCAAUAUUCUAUAUAAAGGCAUAUGCAUGAUAACAGGAAAAAAAAAACAAGAAUUAUAAUGAAAGAUUGAAUUCCUUAUUAUCAGGUAACAAAUAUCAGUGUGUUGUUGGUGUGGUAUCAACAACUUCCGAAAAUCCUCUCUAUCAAAUCCUAUUACAGCAUUAACCAUCACUGGAGACCAUCCAAUUUGGUUCCAUCAUUUCUUCAUCCCUACAAAAUACAAGCCAUUCAGGAAUGGCUAAUGCCUACAGGAUUAAAAUAACUAUGGGGGGUUUUGGGGUUGACUGGUUACUAUAGAAGAUUUGUCAAGGGCUAUGGUAGCAUUUGCAAACCACUCACUCAAUUACUCAAGAAAGAGGCCAAAGGCUGGAAUGAAGCGGCCACCACAACUUUCAAUCAGUUGAAAACAAUUAUGACUAGUGCUCCAGUACUAGCUCUACCAGAUUUCAACAAAACGUUCAUCGUGGAGACAGAUGCAUCCAUAAUUGGUGUGGGAGCAAUACUUAUGCAAGAUGGACACCCCAUUGCAUUCAUUAGCAAAUCUUUGGGUCCUAAACAAUAAGUAAUGUCAGUAUACGAGUGGGAAAUGCUGGUCAUUCUCCAGGCAGUCACCAAAUGGAAGCAUUAUCUCUGGGGACGCCAUUUUAUCAUCAAAACAAACCACAUAAGUUUGAAAUAUCUUCUACAGCAGAAGCUGACUACCCCUGCACAACACGUAUGGUUGGUGAAGUUAUUGGGGUACGACUACGAUAUAGAAUACAAGCAAGGCCGCGAAAAUGUUCCUGCAGAUGCCCUUUCCAGAAUUCCUAACAAAGAGGUAUAUGCUCUGACCACUUCACCAUUUCCACUGACAUCCUGGCAUAAAUCAAGAAUUCCUAUGAAGAUGACGUUACAGUUCAAGGAAUUAUUAAACAGUUACAAGAGUCUACUAACACCCAUCCACACUACACUUGGGUAAAUGAUCACCUUAACAGAAAAGGGAAGGUGGUAGUAGGGAAGAAUCCUGCAUACAGAACAAGCUCAUUUCCAUGUUUCAUAGUUUAGCUGUUGGAGGACACUCGGGCAUGACAAUAACAGCUAAAAAAAUUAGGGGGUUAUUUUAUUGGAAGGGUCAGCAGAAACACAUCAGGCAAUUCGUCAGGAAUGCAAUGUGUGCCAGAGGAAAUAAACAUGAAACACAGCCAGUCCCUGGACUCCUUCAACCAUUACCCAUUCCUUCAGCUCCAUUCAUCGACAUCAACAUGGAUUUCAUUGAAGGCUUCCCAAAUCUGAAGGGAGGAGGUGAUAUUAGUGGUGGUGAUCGUUUCAGCAAAUACGCACACUACAUGGCUCUCAGUCAUCCUUACUCUGCCUCAGGGGUGGCCAAACCUUUAUGAACAAUGUCUAUAAACUACACGGAUUACCAACCUCGAUAACCAGCGACAGAGAUCCAGUCUUUUUGAGCAGGUUUUGAAAAGAAUUAUUCACUAGUCAAGGGGUCAACCUUAACUAUUCCUCAGCCUACCACCCACAGACAGACGACCAAACUGAAAUUGUUAACAAAUGCAUCGAACAAUAGUUACGCUGCAUGACUGGUGAUUGCCCGAACCAGUGGGUCAAGUGGUUACCUUUGGCUGAAUGGUGGUACAAUACCAACUACCACUCAGCCACCAAAUGACACCUUAUCAAGUUUUAUAUGGAGUUGUUCCACCCCUACACAUUCCCUAUUUCCCUAAAGAUUCAGCUGUGGAAUCAGUUGAUAAGUACUUAUCAGCUAAAGAAGAAGUCAUCAAGAGGGUCAGGGAACAUCUCCAAGCAGCACAGAACAUGAUGAUUAUGGUGGCUAACAAGAAAAGGAGUGAUCGCAGUUUUGAGAUUAAUGACUAUGUCUUCCUCAAAAUCCAACCAUACAGGCAACAUUCAUUGGUGUAGGUCCUCACAGAAGUUAGCAACAAAAUAUUAUGGGCCUUAUCGGGUAUUGGCUAAGAUAGGAAAGGUGGCUUACAAGCUGGAAUUGCCAGUUUCAACACUUAUUCAUCCAGUGUUCCAUGUUUCUCAGCUUAAAAAACAUAUUGGAAAUCACACAAUACAAGGCACUCCUCCGAUGAUACCAAAAACAGCUGCUCUACAGCCUCGUACAGUGUUAGACCGAAGAAUGGUGAAACUUCACAAUCAAGCACACACUCAAGUAUUGAUACUCUAGGAAGGACUAGCUCUUACUAAGGCUACUUGGGAAGACCUGGAGGAGAUUCAGCUGCGCUUUCAACUUUUCAACCUUGAGGACAAGCUUGGUUUCAAGGGGAGGCAAUUGUUACAGGCAGAAGAAGAAGAAAUGGAAUAAAAGAACUAAGGCAGGCCACGCAUUUAAAAGUUAGUUAUCCUUACACACGUGAGCCACACAUUCAAAAGUUAGUUAUAGAAGCCAUAUGCACCAUUUCAUUUAAGUAACCAUACACACCGUUUCAAUUCCAUAAAACAGUUGCAUGGCAGUUAGCACACAGCCUGCGUGCUGAAGGUUUUCAUAACCAAUUAGCAUUGCAAUAUUCUAUAUAAAGGAAUAUGCAUGAUAACAGGGAAAAAAAAACAAGAAUUAUAAUGAAAGAUUGAAUUCCUUAUUAUCAGGUAACAAAUAUCAGUGUGUUGUUGGUGUGGUAUCAACAACUUCCAAAAAUCCUCUCUAUCAAAUCCUAUUACAGCAUUAACCAUAACUGGAGACCAUCCAAUUUGGUUCCAUCAUUUCUUCACCCUUAACACAUAAGCUAAAAAAGGAUCCAAAGAAAGUUGCACAAAGUUCAAGAACAUAUGAGAAGUAGCAAGAUUUUUUCAUUGCCUUGUAUUUUCCCUUAUCAACAUAUAUUAUAAAUCUAAAUUUCUCUUUGAAGUUUAGUAGUAAUACUCUUUCACAAACUAAUUGGCAAACAAAAUCUUUAAAUAGAAUUUUGGGUAAUUUAAUUCCUUCAAACAUAGUGCUAUUGAUAUCAUUUAAGAUUUUAAUUAUUUAUUUUCUAAUUAAUGUUAAGACUUUAAUUAUUUGUUAGCCUAGGAUUUUUAAUUUAAUUAAUAUUUUACUAUUUAAAAAUUCUAAUGUUGGAUGGAAUCAAUUAAUUAAAUAAAUUUUAAUUAUGAAUCUUUUUAUAUAAAAAAAAUUAGAACUAUUAUAAAUAAGGGAUGUUUAAUUUAUUUUUGAGAGAUUAAGAUUAUAAUUUAAAUUUUUAUAAAAUACCAAGAAAGUUUUCUAAAUUUUUCAACAACUUAGGUCAUGAAAUUAUAAUAACCCUAUAAAAAACAAAUCAAAAUAAAACAUGAAGACCAAUUCAUAAUCAAUUCAAUCUUGAUAGAAAAUUUUGAAAAUAAUAUUAAAUUAAAAAAAGACAAAAAAAACUACUUGGAUCAACCUGUCAAACUUGUAACUCAAGUCAUGAGAUUUGGAUAAUCCUAUAAAAAGCAUAUAAAAAAAUAUGUGAAACUAAAUUUCCAACCAAACCAAUAUUGAAGAAUGAAAAGAAAAAAAAAGAAAUAACUCAAGUCAACCCAGACUAACCUGUUAGACUAUCCCGCUGAAUCAUGAGAUAUUGAUAACUUUAUAAAAUAAAAAUAAAUAAAUAUUAUAAAAAUUUAUUUUCAAUAGAUUUAAUGUUGAAUAUGUUAGUACGGGGAUAACUUUAUAACUUGAGUUUAUAUAUUAUUAUCAAUAUUUUUCAAAUAUUGAAAAUUCAUUAAUUUUGUGAAAUCUAAUGUUAAAAAAGGAAGGACAUUCCUCCAUAAAUAACGGAUAGCUAAUAUAUGUUUGAGGAAUGAAUGCCUGAUUAACACUUCUUUUAAAUUUCAAGGUGUCAAAUAACCAUUUCAUCAGUUUUGGUUGGUUUAAUGGAUGGAGAUAGACAGAAGGGAGGAUGGGGGAAACGAAUAAUCCUAAUUCGAAAAUAAUAUGUAAUAUUAUUUUAAAAAGUGUUUUUUUUGUAAUGUAGUGUAAUAUUAUUUUUAAAGUGUUUUUUAAAUUGUAAUUUAUUGAAAUUUUUUUUUUUUUUUUAUAUUAGUAAAUUAAAACUACUAAAAAUUAACUAAAAAUAUCAAUGUAAUAUUUUUAAGAUAAAAAAUAUUUUGAAAAACAUAGAUAUAACAAUAAAAACAAAUAAUUUUAAUGUAGUUAAAUAUAAGCAAGAGGAAGAAUUGAAAUUUGAAACCCCAAUGAAAGUUUGAGGGGGUAAUUUAUACAAACGAGAGAAAUCAAUUUAUUAAGAUUUAGUAGAUUAAUUGAAUAGAUUAUUUUUUUUUACAAAAUUUAACAUUAAAAACCCUUUAACACGUUUCCAAUCACAACAAAAGCUAUAUAAGUAAUAGGUAGUGACCUAUGGAAGCCAGCAAUCCACCUAAGUCAGGUAAGCAGAUGUUGUUAGAAUCUUGGAUUGCUUCUCGUCCUGUUUCUCAACUUCUUCUUUUACAACCUCUUCCUCGUCCUUUUUAGCCUCAUUUUUCUCUACCAUUUCAGCUUCCUUCAUAGUGAUGAACUCGAUGAGACUUUGAAGAGCAACUUGAGGCUCGCCACGUUUCAUAAGCUGCUGUGCGACUUCUGCUGGGGUAAUAACAGGACUUUGAAGGAGAUCUUCUAUGCAUUUGAAAAGGACAUGCUCUUUAAUUCCAAGAUAUGUAGAGGCAAGCUUCUUGAAUGCUGCAGGAGUACAAUGGCCCAUGUAAAUAGGAACAUCCAUUCGUCCUGGUCGCAACAAUGCUGGGUCCAACUUCUCUUUGUAAUUUGUCGUGAAAAUGAUUAUUCUUUCAUCCCCGCAGCUUGACCAUAGCCCAUCAAUGAAGUUCAACAAACCAGAUAAGGUCACCUGUGAGAAGAUUUAAGGAGAAAUAUGAAAUUGGAAAAUUAGGAGACAAUAAGGCAUCGCCUUGAUUAAUGAAUGUUUUCCUUCCAAAAAAACAUCAUUUUUGGUGACUUUACAUAAGCAUAACAUGAUGUUAUUUAUGAAGUCUAGUCAGUAAGGAUUGCAGUUAAGUUCCGAAUAAAAUAAACAGGGGACAUUAAUUCUUUCAGGACUCACUUACCCCAGGAUCAAAAGAAAGCUUAUUAUCAAGUUGAUCACCCCCCUCAUCAUCAUCAUCAUCUUGUUCUUCUUUUGGAUUCUUAUUUCGAUCGCGAGAACGUGAAGAUUUUGUACCGCAGUCAAUGUCCUCAAUGAGAAGAAUGGAACGAUUGGUGGUGGAGGUGAGUAUCCUCCUCAGUUGAGCAUCAUUCCUUACACCUUGAAGCUGGAGAUCAUAGAUGUUGAAUCUGAGAUAGUUUGCAAUGGCAGCGACGAGGGUGGAUUUUCCAGUCCCUGGUGGACCGUAGAGAAGGUACCCUCUUUUCCAAGCUCUACCAACACUCUGAAAGUAGUCCUUUCUUUGCACAAACAAGUCGAGAUCUUCAACUAUGAACUUCUUCAGGUCAGGGUCCAUUGCCAGAGUGUCAAAGGUAGCUGGAUGCUUGAACACAG